rnacentral:rRNA from 1 species
AGUGAACGCUGGCGGUAGACCUAACACAUGCAAGUCGAACGGCAGCACAGUAAGAGCUUGCUCUUACGGGUGGCGAGUGGCGGACGGGUGAGGAAUACAUCGGAAUCUACUUUUUCGUGGGGGAUAACGUAGGGAAACUUACGCUAAUACCGCAUACGACCUACGGGUGAAAGCAGGGGAUCUUCGGAACUUGCGCGAUUGAAUGAGCCGAUGUCGGAUUAGCUAGUUGGCGGGGUAAAGGCCCACCAAGGCGACGAUCCGUAGCUGGUCUGAGAGGAUGAUCAGCCACACUGGAACUGAGACACGGUCCAGACUCCUACGGGAGGCAGCAGUGGGGAAUAUUGGACAAUGGGCGCAAGCCUGAUCCAGCCAUACCGCGUGGGUGAAGAAGGCCUUCGGGUUGUAAAGCCCUUUUGUUGGGAAAGAAAAGCAGCAGGUUAAUACCCCGCUGUUCUGACGGUACCCAAAGAAUAAGCACCGGCUAACUUCGUG